rnacentral:rRNA from 1 species
UACAGGGGGGGCAAGCGUUGUUCGGAAUUACUGGGCGUAAAGGGCUCGUAGGCGGCCAACUAAGUCACACGUGAAAUCCCUCGGCUCAACCGGGGAACUGCGUCUGAGACUGGAAGGCUUGAAUCCGGGAGAGGGAUGCAGAAUUCCAGGUGUAGCGGUGAAAUGCGUAGAUAUCUGGAGGAAUACCGGUGGCGAAGGCGGCAUCCUGGACCGGCAUUGACGCUGAGGAGCGAAAGCUAGGGGAGCAAACGGG